GACAGAGGGGGCAAGCGUUGCUCGGAAUUACUGGGCGUAAAGGGCGCGUAGGCGGAAUGGCAAGUCGGUCGCGAAAUCCUUCGGCUCAACCGAAGAACGUCGAUCGAAACUGCCGUUCUUGAGGAUUGCAGAGGAGACUGGAAUUCCCGGUGUAGCGGUGAAAUGUGUAGAGAUCGGGAGGAACACCGGUGGCGAAGGCGGGUCUCUGGGCAAUUCCUGACGCUGAGGCGCGAAAGCGUGGGGAGCAAACGGG
rnacentral:rRNA from 1 species